GUGCUAGCUUCAGCAGCACAUAUACUAAAAUUGGAACAGUACAGAGAAGAUUAGCAUGACCCUUGUACAAGGUUGACACGCAAAUUCGUGAAGCGUUAUAUUUAAAA